GCGGAGGGGGCUGCGGCGUCCCAGGGCGAGGCGGUGACGUGAGUUCGGCGCACCUGGGUCGGGCAGGUAAGGGCCGGUGCGGGACGGGGAGCGGAGCUCGAAGACUCUACCUGCGCAAAGCCAGGUGUUGCUUACCCGACCGGUGAAGAAGAGCGGUGGCGACGGGUGAUCUUAACUGGGGACGUGGUUCGGAGGGACGUCCGCUUCUGGUCGCCGGAUUGAGAAAAGAGUCUUUGGCUGGCCCAGAGCAAGGAGAGCUGACUUGAGGCCCAGCUCUUGGGAUCCCCGUGGAUACGCUGCCUGCUCAUCUCUAUCAUGGCCCUCCACCCCCGCAGAGUUCGGCUGAAGCCCUGGCUGGUGGCCCAGGUGGAUAGUGGCCUGUACCCCGGGCUCAUCUGGCUACACAGGGACUCCAAACGCUUCCAGAUUCCCUGGAAACAUGCUACCCGGCAUAGCCCCCAACAAGAGGAGGAAAAUACCAUUUUCAAGGUAAAGAAAGGACUUCUUGCACCAUCUGACUUAAAAUGUUUUCCAGUUCUGUCAGAGCUUUCUGAGUUUUUUGGUUGUUGUUGUUGUUUUGUUCUGUUUUCUCUUUUGGCGUGAGGAAUACAGUAGAUCCAAAAUGCUGAGGCAUCAGAGAGAAUGUUUAUGAAGGGGGUGCCCAAACUUAGGCAUAGUAAUUUCUCUUGCUGGGGCAUAUCUAUAAUGUUUGAGUCUGUUUAUUCUUUCCCAUUGGUUGAAGGUACUCAAUUCACAUCCCAAAAGAUCCCAGGUGCAGUUGGCUAAACUGCAAGUGAUCGUAUUGGUGUGGUUGUUCCAAAAGCUCCCGAGGGUCAGCAAAUGACUCUUCCUCUUCAUUCACUCAGGGCUCUUGCUAUGAAGAGAGGUGCUUGGGCCUGGGAAUGACUCUUCAGACCAGGACAGAACUACUGAGUGUUAGCAGGCUCCUAACAUAGCCUGUAGGAUGGGCGUAGAGGGCCCUCUGCAAGGUGUUCUUUUGAUAUUAAAAUAUCUUGCCCUAUCCAUAACCUCUGCUUAAAAAUUAAUGGUGAUUUAGUACAAGUUUUUAUUAUACAAGUAUGUUUUCUUAAAUAAAAAAUAGCUCUGAUGUGACAGUUGUUUUACUUAACUGAAAACAAGAUUUAAUCAGAUGGCAUUUUACAAAAUUUAAUGAAGCCAAAGCUUGGCUUUAAGACAGAAGUAGGUGGGAAGCUGGUCAUGGGGAGGGGUGUUAUGUGGUUUAUAACUCUGGACCCUGUGCCUCUGCUUCAGACCAACUUCUCUGUGCUGGUCAGCCUUCCAUCUCAUGAGUUGCUUUAGUUCCUGCAUCCCCAAGACACGGAGAAGUGAGUUUAGCCUUUUCUUCCCUCUAUAAGCUGGAAGUCAGAAGUGAAAUCCAGUCCCUACCCUGGGCCUCUCAAGAUUGAUGGCCCCAGGUUCUUGCUGAGAUUGGAUCAGAAGAAGUGGGCUCACCCCUCGAAGAGGGCCGUCCUAGAGAUGUUUCCCACCCAACUCAGUUAUAUCAGGUAUAAGAUACAAGCGGUAGAGGGAAAAUUGGCCUGAGAGCACUUAGAAAGAAAGUAAAUGAGCGCUUUUAAUUUAAAAAAUAAUGAUAUGGAAAUGAUAGGAAAAACAUCUGUAAACCAGCCCCAAUUACUGAAGUUGGCAUCGAGAGGGGGAUGGGCCUGCCCUGGCCCAGCUGGCCUCUGGUUGUGGCCUUGGUUUGAAACUGGAUUUGCUGUUGGUGGCUGAGGGUGGCUGGCCAUGGCGGAAGAGGCUGGUUCCUGAAAGCCCAACGCAGGAGAGUGAUCUAUGUGUUCAGGGCUUGAGAAAAAGGUGGCUGCAGAAAGCUUGUCUUAUUUAUAUCUGUAUCUCUGUUUGCAGAAUGCUAAGGGAGGGCCUUGGAAGUCAGGAGAAGAGUGAGGGUGCUUUCACAGAU